GAAGGGGAUUGAGAGAGAGCGCCCGCAGAGACAGGAAGGCCGGAAAUUGAGAAAGAAGGCCAUGCUUGCAGAGAGCGACUGAGAUUUGAAAUCCAUGCCUGCCUCAGCUGAUUACAAAGCAAGAAUUCGAAAAAUACUUGAGCGAUGCAGAUGUCUAAGACGUAGCCAUGGAUGCAGAUGCAUAUGGCCAUUCCAUGGCUGCUGCUGGAAAGAAUCAAAUGGAAAGUUAAAAAAAUAUUUUGUUCCCAACCCCAAGAUCAAGUUUGAUUGGCCAAGACAGCUUGGUCCGACGGAUCCUGAGAGAACGAUCCGGAGAGCAAUCGAACAUGCAAAGGUAGUGAUUGAAGGUUUAAGAAGUAAAGUUGUUUCAGUAUUAGCGCUGUGGGGUUGUGUUGGGCCGGUGAGUUCAUUUUCCUAUGUCAUGGACCAUUGUUUUUUGUUGGGAUUUCUUUGUUCGCUUGAAAAGAGUCAUAAUCUAACCAUUUGUAUUGUGUGUACAUCAAUCAAUUAAUGGAAAAUAAUCUAUCUUCUAAGUUUCUUAAA